AGUAUGAUUGCUGGGCCAUAUGGUAAGUUUAUGUUUAGUUUUUAAAGAAAAUGCCAAAUUGUUUUCCAGAGUAGCUGUACCAUUUGACAUUCCACCAGCAAC
rnacentral:pre_miRNA from 1 species